AUCGUUUGUCGCAUGCAUCAGGGCA
rnacentral:rRNA from 1 species